rnacentral:rRNA from 1 species
GACGAACGCUGGCGGCGUGCCUAAUACAUGCAAGUCGAGCGGAAUGAUGAAGAAGCUUGCUUCUUCUGAUUUUAGCGGCGGACGGGUGAGUAACACGUGGCCAACCUACCUUGUAGAUUGGGAUAACUCCGGGAAACCGGGGCUAAUACCGAAUAAUCCAUUUUGCUUCAUGGCGAGAUGUUGAAAGACGGUUUCGGCUGUCACUACAAGAUGGGCCCGCGGCGCAUUAGCUAGUUGGUAGGGUAAUGGCCUACCAAGGCGACGAUGCGUAGCCGACCUGAGAGGGUGAUCGGCCACACUGGGACUGAGACACGGCCCAGACUCCUACGGGAGGCAGCAGUAGGGAAUCUUCCACAAUGGACGAAAGUCUGAUGGAGCAACGCCGCGUGAGUGAAGAAGGUUUUCGGAUCGUAAAACUCUGUUGUAAGGGAAGAACACGUACGAGAGUAACUGCUCGUACCUUGACGGUACCUUAUUAGAAAGCCACGGCUAACUACGUG